GCCCCUCGGCCACCGUCCGCCGGGGACCGGGAAAGCUGAGACACCGCCGGGCUUGGGGCGCCGCAGUCCCGGGAACGGAGGGUCUCACUCUGUUGACCAGGAUGGAGUACAGUAAUACAGUCAUGGCUCACUGCAGCCUCAACCUCCCAAGCUCAAGCAGGAGGAAGAUCUUUUGAGGGUAGAAGGCCCUGAAGAGGCAUUUCAAGAGGAAUGGGUUUUGCUUCCUGGUCCAAUUGUGCUCACUGGCACACUUCUGCAGCACAGCAGCUUCUCCAGCAUCUGUUCCUGCUUUGAUUGGUGGCCAGAAACACUGAGCAGCCAGCAGUGUUCCUUAGCAUCCUAUUGGGCUGUUUUAUAGCAGAGGCUUCCAGGAGACCCCUCCCCAUGAAUACAUUUCCUCAGCAACCUAAAAGUGCCAGAAAAUUCUAGAGGGUGGAUUUAUAGGAAGUUCCACUGGAAGAUUCCCAAUGACUUCUUGCCAUUUAAUGAGCCAUAGCCACACUCUUCAAAAGGGUCUCAAUCUGCCCUGGCUGGAGGCGAGAGGCUCCUCUUUGGGAACUCUGUCACAGCAUUAGAGUAGCAGCUGUUCCUUAUAUCUGCUAUUGCUAUACUCUUUAAAGCUCUCUAGUUCUUAUUAGCCAGUGCUUCAUUAUUCCAAUACCCUGUUAUAGCUAAUAAUUCCUCAUAUAUUAAACUGUCUUUAUUCAAAUGAGCAUGGUUUGUCUUCUGAUUAGACUUUGAUGAAGAUAUCUUAAGCUUUUCCAUGGAUCCAUCUAUGCCUGGACCUUGUAUAUAGAAGGAAUUCAAUGAAUACAGUCCCUUAAUAGCAUCAUGACACACAGUUUUCUUAUGUAGUUGUCACAAUUUCAGGCCCUUUCAUCCUUACAUUUAUUGAGCAGUUAUUGUCUGUGCUCAGGAAUCUUGCUGUGUGGCAGGAGAUAAGAGGAGAGAAUCAGUAGCUAGAAGAAUACAACAGCUAAAGUGGCCUUGGUGAAUAGUCCAGAAUGAUAAAAAACUUAGAUCACUAAAAAAAAUUGCAUGAGAUGACACUGCAGAGAUAAGGUAGAGUCAGAUGAUGACAGGCUUUGACUUCUAUUGGGAAAGGCAGUUUGCUGUGGCCUUGAGCAUCUCUGCAUGUGCUUGCUAAGUAUGCCAAACACAAGGCUUAACUUUCCCCUAAUACUGAACCAUUUCUAGCUAGUCACAUCAGCAUUUAACUAGGUUAAGAUGACCACAGCAUAACUACCAUACAACAGCUCACUCCCUCAGGGAAGGAGGCUGGUUUGUUUGCCACUUGCUACAAAAGAUGCUAGGCCCUUAGCCCUGGAUCCCUCAGUCAUGGUGCAAACCACUGCAUGUGCAACCACUGUCCGGGCCCAUUGCAUUUACUCCAUAGGACUUGAGGACAGGCCAACCAGUGCUACCAUGCUGGUACUCCUACUGUAUGCUGUGUUGAAUAAUAAAUUUCUUCAUCUGAUCCACCAAAUCUCAUCUACAUUGGUACCAAUGGAGUUGUGGCUGGUGAACCUGCUUUCUUGCUUAGUCAUCUCCGUUGGAGUCUUGUUAUUUCUUGCUCUUCUCUAGGAGGUUGGGGCUCUUCUCUAACAAAGGGUGCCAUGACACAGGCACACACACACACUACAAAAUGAAAAUAAACAUGAACUAGAAAGAUGUUUCCUUAUUUGAGAAAUGCAGAUAAAUGGCAAAGCUGUUGGAAACCAGAAAACCAUGUAAUUUUGAGUAUUUAAAAUCAAUCCUGUAUUGUGAUACACUAAGACCAAACUUGAAUGUUAUUCCACAUAAGAAUCUAGCCAACAGAAUGUAGUUCAGAUUUGGGAAAUGAUGGUGAGGAAACUAUAUUUUAUGGAAUUGCUAAUACAUUUAAAACAGUAGUUGGUAAGAAAAAAGUGUGUUCUGGGCCAGGUGUGGUGGCUCACGCCUGUAAUCCCAGUACUUUGGGAGGCCAAGAUGGGCGGAUUACCUGAGGUCAGGAGUUUGAGACCAGCCUGGCUAAUGUGGCGAAACCCCGUCUCUACUAAAAAUACAAAAAUUAGCCGGGAGUGGUGAUGUGUGCCUGUAGUCCCAACUACUUGGGGGGCUGAGGCAGGAGAAUUGCUUGAACCUGGGAGGCGGAGGUUGCAGUGAGCCAAGAUCAAGUCACUGCACUCCAGCCUGGGCAACAGACCAAGACUCCGUCUCAAAAAAAAAAAAAAAGUGUUCUUUUACUUUUUACAAUAAAUCCUGUUUGAGAAGUUAUGAUCCUUGUGUAAAAAUAUCUGUAGCAAGUAGUCUGUCAUUUGUGCAGUGAUAACUGUGGGCAUUGAUGUUUUUAGAUUAAAUCCUGUAUUUGAAUAAAGAUGUU